ACUCAAAAAUCAUAGUAUUGAUUCAUAAUAGAGAUCUUAAGCAUGACGUCCACGGCAAACGGCGAAUGGCAGAAAAGAUUGUGUGACCUGCCUUUUGAGGAUUUACCGUUACAGUUUAGGCGCAAGAGUGGGUUAUUUUGGGAUUGCUAAAAUCGUGAAAAGUCGCUCUUUCAAAUGACUAAAAAAACAAGAUCAUGAUUCAAUCAAAAAACAUGAUAAAAUGUAAUCAACAUACUUGUUAACUGUGGUGUUUGUGCAUACAAUGUACUCAGCUUCAUCGGUGUAAGGGUUCUGGAAGCUAAAACAACUUGUUCUUAUCCAAACCCAGUCACCACCCUUACUUCUGAACCGAUAACGUACAGAUAGUGUUUGUCCUUUUAACUUUAUCACUGCAAAACAAUACACAUAAAUAUCAAUCAUUAACAAAUCAAUGUGACAUCAAAACAGUUUACACAUAAUGAGGCUUGAAUAUGUCUUUAUUUCUCCUAGAAUAACCUUCUUAGCAAUAUAAUAUUCUAAUUACCGCAACCUAACGUCUAUUUCACCCUGACCUGAUCCCAGUCUGCCUUGUAACUCACUGGUAGAGCAUCGGUAGUACAAAUCUGAGGGUUGUGGGUUCAAAUCCCAGUGAAGUCAGAAAUUAUUUUUUCUGAAUUUAUCUGCAAGGGUCUUACCCUCCUUCCUAGCACUAUAACUUUCCUAUAUUUCAAUAUCAUAUCUCAUAGUGCUAUGUGCUCUUUACAAUCAUAUCUUUACAUUUAUGUCUUUAUUCACCUUGUUCAUAACUUUCUGUCAUAUGUUUUAAAUCUUCAGGAUGAAAGAAGUCAAAACAGAGUUGUCCUAAUAGCUCUUGAGAACUAUCCUCCAUCUCUGAACAUCUCAUUCGACAGAUAAAAUUUCUUCUUGAAGUUGCUUGUGCUCUUGAAUGAGCUAAAAAAAUAUAGAAAGGACAAGAUUACACUUGAUUCAAUGCACAACUCUUGUAAUAUUAUGAAAAAAAAACACAAUGUAUUUUAAUUGUCCAUUCCUGUGUUGUAUACUUUACAGUGAAAAUCAUUUUCAUUGCGACUUAUUUGUUUUGAAGUUUGUUUUGAUUUUGUUCUUUCCUUCGACCUAAGGGGCGGAGCUUUUUGUAAACUUGUUCAGUCAUUGGCUGGUUUGCAGCAAGCUCUGCCACAAAGUCGCAGAAAAAAACUAAAUUCUCAUGAUUUCUUCUGAACAUUGAAGUCGCAAUGCAAUGGUUUCUGCUGUAAAAGUAACAAGGAGUUUUCUUAGACUAUCUCUUUACCUCCAUGUGAAUCUCUCUUUACAUUACCAGCUGAAAAAUAAACAACACAUUUGUAGA